AACGAACGCUGGCGGCAGGCCUAACACAUGCAAGUCGAGCGCACCUUCGGGUGAGCGGCGGACGGGUUAGUAACGCGUGGGAACGUACCCUUUUCUACGGAAUAGCCUUUGGAAACGAAGAGUAAUACGGUAUACGCCCUUUGGGGGAAAGAUUUAUCGGAGAAGGAUCGGCCCGCGUUAGAUUAGAUAGUUGGUGGGGUAACGCCCUACCAAGUCUACGAUCUAUAGCUGGUUUUAGAGGAUGAUCAGCAACACUGGGACUGAGACACGGCCCAGACUCCUACGGGAGGCAGCAGUGGGGAAUCUUAGACAAUGGGCGCAAGCCUGAUCUAGCCAUGCCGCGUGAGUGAUGAAGGCCUUAGGGUCGUAAAGCUCUUUCGCCUGUGAUGAUAAUGACAGUAGCAGGUAAAGAAACCCCGGCUAACUCCGUGCCAGCAGCCGCGGUAAUACGGAGGGGGUUAGCGUUGUUCGGAAUUACUGGGGCGUAAAGCGCACGUAGGCGGAUUGGAAAGUUGGGGGUGAAAUCCCGGGGCUCAACCCCGGAACUGCCUCCAAAACUAUCAGUCUAGAGUUCGAGAGAGGUGAGUGGAAUUCCAAGUGUAGAGGUGAAAUUCGUAGAUAUUUGGAGGAACACCAGUGGCGAAGGCGGCUCACUGGCUCGAUACUGACGCUGAGGUGCGAAAGUGUGGGGAGCAAACAGGAUUAGAUACCCUGGUAGUCCACACCGUAAACGAUGAAUGCCAGUCGUCGGGCAGUAUACUGUUCGGUGACACACCUAACGGAUUAAGCAUUCCGCCUGGGGAGUACGGUCGCAAGAUUA
rnacentral:rRNA from 1 species